AGACAAGAAGGUUCUCGGAACGGAAUGUGCCGGGCUCCCGGGUUCUGGAAGGGCGCGCGGUGACUGCGCAGCACCCGGCCCCGCCCCGCGCUGAGCCGCGAGCCUGCUGCAGCGAGCGCCUGGAGCCAUGUGAGCGCGACAGUAUGUGUGUCAGUUGUUCAGCAGGGCUGCUUACUUCUCGUUCACGGUCGAGCUUUGCUUCAGGGAGGACCGGGCUACAACCCUCUAGACACUAAAGCAGCCAGAUCAGUAAGGAAACCAGCUUCUUCUUGGCCCAGUGGCUUCAGGCAGCUGAUGCUCAUCCCCGUCAUAUCUUUGAGUAACCGCCCAGCCGAUCAGUCCAUGACCUCUCAGCUGCCACUAUAGUAACCGUCCAGCGUUCUCUAGCUGUUCUGUUCAUUUCGGUCUUAUUUCCACUUUUAGACACUGGGCCACAGCAGCAUAGGGCUCAGUCGAGGCAUGGCAGUGAAUAGAAAGGAAAUACAACAUGGUAGCUGGGUUUUCGUGAAAGGCACGAUCCGAUUUCUUUUUAUGGUUGUCAACAACCUGGUUGCAAUUCCAUCUUAUGUUUUGUAUCUCAUAGUUCUUCAGCCAUUGAAACUGAUUAAUAGUAAGCUGUUCUGGCACAUUGAAGGAAUAAUGUUCAAAUGGCUGCUGGCUAUGGUGUCUUCAUGGGGUUGGACAGCAGGCUAUACAG